rnacentral:rRNA from 1 species
CAGCAGCCGCGGUAAUACAGAGGGUGCGAGCGUUAAUCGGAUUUACUGGGCGUAAAGCGUGCGUAGGCGGCUAAUUGAGUCGGAUGUGAAAUCCCCGAGCUUAACUUGGGAAUUGCAUUCGAUACUGGUUAGCUAGAGUGUGGGAGAGGAUGGUAGAAUUCCAGGUGUAGCGGUGAAAUGCGUAGAGAUCUGGAGGAAUACCGAUGGCGAAGGCAGCCAUCUGGCCUAACACUGACGCUGAGGUACGAAAGCAUGGGGAGCAAACAGGAUUAAAUACCCCUGUAGUCCCUGUCUCUUAUAC